GCGCACCAGUCGAGAAACUUCACACUGUGCGAAAGCACGAUGAGGGAAUCCCAAGUGCUUGCACGUAAGUGUAAGCUGUUUCUCUGUCUAAAACGCAGAGAGAGUAAGGGCUGGGUAAGACGGGUGCCAGCCGCCGCGAUAAUACCUGCAGCUCAAGUGGUGACCGUUAUUAUUGGGGCCUAAAACGUCCGUAGCCGGUUUAAUAAAUGCCUGGGUAAAUUGUGUAGCUUAACUAUACGAAUUCCGGGUAGACUGUUAAACUUGAGACCGGGGAGAAGUUAGAGGUACCCCUGGGGUAGAGGUGAAAUUCUGUAAUCCUAGGGGGACCACCAGUGGCGAAGGCGUCUAACUAGAACGGGUCUGACGGUGAGGGACGAAGCCCUGGGGCGCAAACGGGGAUUAGAUACCCCUGUAGU
rnacentral:rRNA from 1 species